rnacentral:rRNA from 1 species
UACAAGGGGGGCAAGCGUUGUUCGGAAUUAUUGGGCGUAAAGCGCACGUAGGCGGCUUGGCAAGUCGGAUGUGAAAGCCCACGGCUCAACCAUGGAAGUGCAUCCGAAACUGCUGAGCUUGAGUACUUAAGAGGAUCGCGGAAUUCCCGGUGUAGAGGUGAAAUUCGUAGAUAUCGGGAGGAACACCAGUGGCGAAGGCGGGUCCCUGGUCCAGCACCGACGUUCAGGCACGAAAGCGUGGGGAGCAAACAGG